rnacentral:rRNA from 1 species
CCUACGGGUGGCAGCAGUGAGGAAUAUUGGUCAAUGGCCGGAAGUCUGAACCAGCCAUGCCGCGUGCAGGAAGACGGCUCUAUGAGUUGUAAACUGCUUUUGUCCAGGAGUAAACCUGAAUACGUGUAUUCAGCUGAAAGUACCGUACGAAUAAGCAUCGGCUAACUCCGUGCCAGCAGCCGCGGUAAUACGGAGGAUGCAAGCGUUAUCCGGAUUUAUUGGGUUUAAAGGGUGCGGAGGCGGAUUGAUAAGUUAGCGGUGAAAUGUCCGGGCUUAACUCGGGAACUGCCUCUAAUACUGUUGAUCUAGAGAGUAGAUGCGGUAGGCGGAAUGUAUGGUGUAGCGGUGAAAUGCUUAGAGAUCAUACAGAACACCGAUUGCGAAGGCAGCUUACCAAUCUACAACUGACGUUGAGGCACGAAAGCGUGGGGAGCAAACAGGAUUAGAUACCCUUGUAGUC